UAGGGAAUCUUCCGCAAUGGACGCAAGUCUGACGGAGCAACGCCGCGUGAGUGAAGAAGGAUUUCGGUUCGUAAAACUCUGUUGUUAGAGAAGAACAGCGCAUAGAGUAACUGUUAUGCGUGUGACGGUAUCUAACCAGAAAGCCACGGCUAACUACGUGCCAGCAGCCGCGGUAAUACGUAGGUGGCAAGCGUUGUCCGGAUUUAUUGGGCGUAAAGCGAGCGCAGGCGGUCAAUUAAGUCUGAUGUGAAAGCCCCCGGCUCAACCGGGGAGGGUCAUUGGAAACUGGUUGACUGGAGUGCAGAAGAGGAGGGUGGAAUUCCAUGUGUAGCGGUGAACUGCGUAGAUAUAUGGAGGAACACCGGUGGCGAAAGCGGCUCUCUGGUCUGUAACUGACGCUGAGGCUCGAAAGCGUGGGGAGCGAACAGG
rnacentral:rRNA from 1 species